UCAAACAUCGCGAUCUGUCACCCUAAAUCCCUAUCAGGGACCAUGAAAAGGACGUCAUCGCGAUCCCUGAUGAUUAAGAUUCAACAAAACCCUCGAUGAUCGCUCCAGCUCGAAGCAUCAAAAAGCAGUUUGUUCUUGAUGUCGCAGUUCCCAAGGUCACGGUUACCUGUUCUGGUAUGACCAUCAGCUGGCUAUCAAUGAUCCCUAUUCUCGUACUGACAGGGCAAAUUGAAGGGGCGUCGCUAGGUAAGUUGAUAAUGACAUGAUGAGCAUUGAGUUACAGCAGACGUGACUAGUUUAAUACUUGAGUGAAUUACCUUGACCUUCAUUCAAGGUCACAAGGAUCAAAUGUGCUAAAACGACUUCUCAUGAAGCCAGAGGCCUAAAACCGUAUAUUAGGCCUAUAACAUACUGAGGUAAAGGGCUAUAACGAUGGUUCAAAUGAAUGAGCAUACCCUUGACCUUCAUUUACGGCCACCAGAUUCAAAUGUGUUAAAAUCUUUUAAAUGUAUUCUGGAGAACCAACACACAUAGAAACCUGAUGAUUGGCCUUUGGCAUGCUGGUGUGAACACAUUGACCUCAAAUUCAAGAUCACAGGAAUCAAAUCUACCAAAAUAUAUCAACAUUCAGGUGUCCGUUCAGGCUCAUGGGCCUCUUGUUUAUGGAAAGAUGGUGAUGUUGCACACAAAAUGUGGAGGUUAAAGUAUCGUUAUAUGGGUGUCUCGCCGGAAUAUAAUCUUGUUAUCCCAGCAAAGGCUUUUAUGGGAAUAUAACUGUAAAAAUUACUAAUAGAAAAUAUGUUCAGGCUUAAUAUUUUAGGUGUAGCAGAUAUGGCAUCGCUUAAAUUAGAGUACAUGACAAUGCAUCUGCUUCCAUGUGAAACACGAUAAGAUCCAUUCUGUUUAAUUCUAACUGAGGCAAAAAGUUGCAGCCAUAUGAUGCUAGUUACAGUAACAAAAUUCUACUUAAAGAGGUAAGUGAUUGAUAGAUAAGGAAGUGAUCAUUAGAUAAAUAAAUAAUUGUAAUUUGUAGAACAUACAAAUGUAUACCUUGAUAUGAACACAUGAUAUGGCAAUGAUAAACAUAUAUAAUAUGAUUGUCAGUCCAAGUAAUACUUAUAUGUUUACUUUUAACUCGUAUAUGUGGAAAUGAAUGCUUUUGUGUGUUUUAAACACCUGGGACAAGUGACUGCUUACAAUUUACUCAUCUGGAUUUCCUCCUCUCUGUUUAGUUUCUUGAUUUUUCCUGUGUUUCACGUGUGCUUUAAACCAGAAUUACGAAUAUUACUUACCUGUAUUGCUGUGAUGCAAUUCUGUUUAAAAUAUUAUAUUAUUACACUAUAAGUCGUUAGAGAAGUAUAAUAUUCUUAUUGUGGCUCUGAAUUUAUUGAUCAAAUUUAAUACUGAUUUGUAUCUUAAAUAUUCAAUAUCAAUAUUUUGUAGCUGUCCAGUGGUCAAUGGCCACGCUGUGAACUUCUCACAUCCAUAGGUAAAACCUACACACCGGGACAAGCUGCGAGAUGUUCGAGUGUUUCCAGACUCCUAUUAUUAUGUACUACACGGUUAAAACAUUGAAGGAUUUGGUGUGCCUCCUAGACCUGAUGAAGUAUGGAAUCCUUAUGAAACCACAUGGAUAUUCCAUUAGGACCUCAGCAAAAAGAAACGGUUGGACCAGUGGUUUUUUCUGCAAGUGAUGCGAUAUAGGAGUAAGUUGCCUACUUAGGAAUUUUACAGCAGCGGUCUUGAAGGAAUAUUAUAGCGGAGCCUGAUUUUGUGAGGAAUUCCGCAGUGCAGCAAAGUUCUGCUAGGAUUUUGAGCGAACGUGUGGUCUGGGAGAGUAUGGAAUUUGUAACCUAGAUUCUUGUUAAAGAUGUUACAUAUUAUCAUUUGUUAUUGUAAAUACGCAUUUUCUAUUGUCCAACCAGAACACACGUGACAAAGUAUAGAAAGGCAUUUAAUGCUAUAAGACUAUAAUUCGAACGAGUCAAGUGCAGAAUUUCCAUGUCUGGAAUUAGAUGAAAAACUGAGUUUCUAUCAGAUGAUGAAGAACCUAAAAGUUGUACAAGAUGUACAAGAAGUCAUCACUAACUUCAUAUCGAUAUGGGCUGCAGAGACAUCGGAAAAGUGAAAAUAUUGUUAAUAGACAUACACAGGCAAAAUAUCUCAGGUCAAUUUGACCUGAACAAAUAUUGACCUGAAAUUCACCUGAAUUUGACCUGAAUUGAAGACAUUUUGCCUGUGUAACCAAUCAAAAUAUGUUAAAAAGUAAGAAUGCGAUGGAAUGAUGAAGGUACUAGAACAACACCAAAAUAGUACAACAUAUUUUCCAACUCUGAAUAGAUCUGUAAUAUUGAUACUGUUACCAUGAAAAGGUAGUUUAUUGUUUUAGACAAAUUACAACAAUACAAUAAUGUGUUGAUCAUUCAUGGUUGCUGUUUGCUUGAUCACUUCUAUUUGUAUAGUUAAAACUAAAUUAUUUUAUUUUCAUGUUUAUCAAAAUUCAGAUUACGGCUAAUAACAAGGGCCUCUUGUAUAGCGUUAAAACUGGCCAAAAACAUAUCUUUAACAGUUCUUAAUUGCAGAAAAUACAGAACUUUGACAUAGCCAUGAAGUGUAUGGACAUGGAGAGACCAAUUUUAUUGGCAGUAUCGACAUUGUAUUUGUUGUGUUAUGAGGUUAUGUACAUCUUGAUAGCUACUUCUUUACAUCCUGAUUUUAUUUACUAGUAAUUGUUUUUGUAUCAAUCAGAAUCAGUGCCAGUGUGAUCUGUUUUUGAGAACUCCCCGCCAUAAAUGGUACCUAAGUAUUUUUCAUGAUGAUAUGACUGUGAAUUAGUGUAUGUAAUAAAAUAUGUUUAGAAUUGAUCAGUUUCUUUGAAGUCAUUAAUGUCAUGAAAUCUUCCUUGGUGUACAGUCAAACGUGUCUUAG